UACGUAGGGGGCAAGCGUUAAUCGGAAUUACUGGGCGUAAAGCGUGCGCAGGCGGUUUUGUAAGUCUGGCGUGAAAUCCCCGGGCUCAACCUGGGAAUUGCGAUGGAGACUGCAAGGCUAGAAUCUGGCAGAGGGGGGUAGAAUUCCACGUGUAGCAGUGAAAUGCGUAGAGAUGUGGAGGAACACCGAUGGCGAAGGCAGCCCCCUGGGUCAAGAUUGACGCUCAUGCACGAAAGCGUGGGGAGCAAACAGG
rnacentral:rRNA from 1 species